UAGCAAAUUCCCGCAAAAACGAAAAAAGCAACAAAAUCAAAAUCAUUCUGAAACGAUGCUAAGCGCCAAAAACAAACACCACAAGCCACAAGGCCGGGGAAAGUCCAUUGUUCCAAAUAUGCAGUAAACCGAGUCCAAAUUAUAGUCCUUUCCUCCAUAAUCUUUCUAAUGAGAGUAUCUCGAUUCGAUCAGCUAACAUUAAGGACAAGGAUAGAACAUAGGAAACACGAAAACAAUAAACAUCGAAUCUGACUUAGGUGACAGCCUUCUUCUGUCUCCAUUUCAGCAGAUCUUAUCUAUAGUUAUUAGAUUCCUCAAGAAUAAUUAACCAAUUAUACUAAUAUUCCUGAGAUCAUAUAAAGUAAUUAUGCAUAUAAAGAACACAACAGAGAAAAGGAAAGCUUCAAUUCUCAUCAGAAUGGAACUAACAUAAACAGUCAUUACAUAAAGAACACAAACAUAUGUUACAUAUCAAUCUUGAAUAUAGAAAUUUUAAUCUGCAACUAACAAAACCAACAAUUAAGGUUCAGAGCAAACCAAGACAACAUAUUUAUAUGCAAAAACAUAACCUUGAAAUUCAUGGUAUAAUAAUCAAAUGAGAUUAAACAGAAAAAAGGAAAGUUUCAGUUCUCA